GAUGAUGAAGCAAUUAAAAUAGCUGAAGACAAAUUUUAUGCUGCUGAUGAUGAGAAUGAGGUGUCAAAAGAAAGUUAUGAUAAUCAAAGAACGCUUGGUCAAGAUGCUUCAAUCAUAGAAGUAGAGAAGAAUAGUUGCUCGGUUGUACAGGAAUCUGCAUUUGCUAAAGCGAGGAUGGCAUUGGAUAAAA